CAUUAUGUCUAUGGAGGGUCCUCAUAAGGAUAGCUAAAUCAGUGUGUGUGUGUGUGUGUGUGUGUGUGCGCAUGUCGAUUUUUAGAUGCCUAUCGUCGCACACAUUCUAAAGUUUUGGAGAAAGUGUUUAAGGAUUUGAUAUCAGAAACACUUAAAUUUGCACCGUACCGAGGUGAUCAGGUCAGUGAUCAGUCUUAUCACAGGUUGGUCUCUUUCUGUUUAAAAUAUAGUUGAUGAAAUGCCAACCUGUGUAAGAUUAAAUGGGAGAAUGAUGUUAAUACAUGUAAAGGCAAGGAACAAAACUUGUAGACUCAUGCUUAUGACUAGAACAUGUUACUUUAUACUGUCAAAUAAGAAAUCAAGUAAAUCAGUAUAGCACAUUCAACAAGUUAUUAUUUAAAAGUAAUAUUCUAUUUUGUCUGUCAAAACAUGUUGAACAGAUACAUAGUGGCCAAUGUAUACAUAGUAGUAAAAUGUUACAAAAUGCAUUUGGGAUUAUUGUAUUAUUCUGUUUCACCUCUAUUCCAGACAUUUUAUAGGAUUAUGGCUAUACUUACAGUGGAACAUAAUAAAGCAAUAUUACAUAAGCAAGAGUGAUUUUGUUCUGAAUACAGCACAGCAGUGAUUCAACCGGUAAUGACAGUCGUGCUGACAUUCAGAACAGCACAGUUGUGAUGUUAUUCAACAGUUCAACAAACAAGUAAAUAGUUGAAUAAUGUGCCUUUUGGACAAAAAAUGGUUGCUUAGUUUGUUCACUACUGCUUUGCCGGCUAAAAUUAUUCAAUAGAAGUCAAAUAGCCCCCUCUCCCCAAGAUCAAGCAGGGGUUUACAGUCACAUCAUAUGAGCCGAUGUGCAUGCAAAGUUGCGAUAAUUGUGUUAACGGUCUAGAGUCAAGUGCCUAUACUCCCCAAAUGGGAGGCGCCGUUAAACGACUUCUCUGGUUUGGUCAUCUCUGUAACGCUCUUUAAAACGUCAUGUGUUUAAACAAUCGAUUAUUUUUCUUCAAAUAGCAUUAAUAUCUUGCGGUCGUUGUCUUUUCAAGGGUCUUCCUGUCUUGUCACAUCAUGCACAGUGUGUACAUCAAAGUGUCAGCCUGCGCAUGCGCACAAGUGAAGUUCUGGGGUUUUUAAAUUGGAGACCAUGUUGCAAUGCUGAGAUUUUUUCUCAUAUAAAUCUGAAAAUACACCAAAAAUUUAAGGAUUCUGACAUUUUUUUAGAAAAGUUAAUGACGUAAAUUGAAGAAGAAAUGUUAAAGAUAUAUGCACUUUUUUAGGUCACUAAUCAAAUGCAAGGAAAAAAGUAACAUUGGCCAUGUUAACUCCUUUGGAACAUUGUCAAAUCAUGCUGGGAUAACAUGGAUCAUCAGGUUUGUAAAAACAUAACAGUAUUUUCUUUCUUUUUUUUUUUACCUAGACCUUGUUUCAAUUCUAGCAUAUGUUUAUCAACAGUAAAGUGACUUUCAGAGGAAACUUGCAGUCUCUUUUAGAGAAUGAAGCAACAGCAUCUGCAAGCUAGUGAGUUAAAAAUUAGCAACUUCAAAAACUGAUGACCAAGAUGAAGAAAAGAGAACUGACUACUUCAGAGAUCAUGAAUUGUCGUUGGGGGGUUUAAGAUGAGCAUUCAGUCAAUAUUUCAGUGAUUUAACACAUCUAUAUUGUUAAACAAUAAUUCUAGGCUGUUUUUAUUGCACUAUACAGUUUUUUAAGCCAGCAACUAUAACUGUCUUUAACAUUGAAAGAACACAUACUUCACAAACAUUAAAGACAAUAAUACUUCACAAAAGAGUCCAGGCAAAUGUCCAAAUUUCCCUUAUUCAGGCACGUAAGAGCGAUAGCGCAGUGUAAUUUCAAGACCUACCUUGUUUAUUCAAAAGCACCACUCUCCUCAGUGCUCUUCUUUCACAGCUGAGUGGGAAUACCAGCCUGACCUUGAAACCCUAAAGACUGAACUGAAGUUCAGAUGAUACAGAUUUCUUAAAGGGAUAGUUCACCCAAAAAGGAAAAUGCUCUCAUCAUUUACUCACCCUCAUGCCAUCACAGAUAUGUAUGACUUUCUUCUGCUCGACACAAUGAUUUUUAGAAGAAUAUGUCAGCUCUGUAGGUCCCUACAAUGCAAGUGAAUGGUUCCAGGUGCUUCUCCAGGCUCAAGUGGAGGACAGGCAGGUGCUAAGGAGUUUGGUACCCCAGGAGGGGUCUUUACCCGUGACUCCAGGCCUCACGUCACGAUCAACAAGAUGGGACAUCAGGACGACCCGGAGGCUUUCAUCAAGCUCUUCGAGUGGACAGCCAAGGCAUGAAAGUGGCCGAGCACCCAGUGGGCGGUCCGCCUGUUGUCCGGGGAAGCCCAACUCAUGACCCAACAACUUCCUGUGUCCAACCUCCUGGUGUAUGAGGAUUUUAAGAAAGCCACCCUGCAACUGGUCAGCCACAGCCCAGAACAACAUCAUUAACACUUCUGCUUGCUGACAUUUGGCGAGCACAGCCGCCCAUUCGCAUUCGCCCAACAGCUCCGUGACACCUGCCGGAGGAGGUGAUCGAUCUGGUGGUACUGGAGCAGUUCAUCUCCCGGCUACUGAGAGGAACUGUGGAGUGGGUCCAGUGCCACUGACCGCUGUCACUGGAUGAGGCGGUCCAUUUGGCUGAGGACCAUCUGACGGCGUAUCUGAGGGCUGGUGAAUCCACUGCCAUGGGUGAAGUCUGGGCUGAUCUGCUGGAGCUGCGGGGAACCUGGGCAAUUCCAGGACUGAUGCCCUAUGAUGGAAGUGAGGACGUCGGUCCAGGUCCCCGAUGCGCCAUAGGCCACCCCGAUCGAGCUGGAACGUACUGGAUACCUUAAAAACAAAGCGCAGUUCCUGUGGAAGCUCAGAUCUGGGCAUAUUUAGUACAGCUGGGAUGAUCCUCUGUGACAUGGGCCCCUCAGACAGGACCUGGUGCAUCUGAUACAAGCACCAGUCAUCGUUCAGGAAGUUU